AGUGAACGCUGGCGGUAGGCCUAACACAUGCAAGUCGAACGGCAGCACAGUAAGAGCUUGCUCUUACGGGUGGCGAGUGGCGGACGGGUGAGGAAUACAUCGGAAUCUACUUUUUCGUGGGUGAUAACGUAGGGAAACUUACGCUAAUACCGCAUACGACCUACGGGUGAAAGCAGGGGAUCUUCGGACCUUGCGCGAUUGAUUGAGCCGAUGUCGGAUUAGCUAAUUGGCGGGGUAAAGGCCCACCAAGGCGACGAUCCGUAGCCGGUCUGAGAGGAUGAUCAGCCACACUGGAACUGAGACACGGUCCAGACUCCUACGGGAGGCAGCAGUGGGGAAUAUUGGACAAUGGGCGAAAGCCUGAUCCAGCAAUACCGCGUGGGUGAAGAAGGCCUUCGGGUUGUAAAGCCCUUUUGUUGGGAAAGAAAAGAAGCAGGUUAAUACCCCGAUGUUCUGACGGUACCCAAAGAAUAAGCACCGGCUAACUUCGUG
rnacentral:rRNA from 1 species